rnacentral:rRNA from 1 species
GGAGGUCCAAGCGUUAUCCGGAAUCAGUUGGGUUUAAAGGGUCCGUAGGCGGUUUUGUAAGUCAGUGGUGAAAGCCCAUCGCUCAACGGUGGAACGCCAUUGAUACUGCAAGACUUGAAUUAUUGGGAAGUAACUAGAAUAUGUAGUGUAGCGGUGAAAUGCUUAGAGAUUACAUGGAAUACCAAUUGCGAAGGCAGGUUACUACCAAUAUAUUGACGCUGAUGGACGAAAGCGUGGGGAGCGAACAGGAUUAGAUACCCUGGUAGUCCACGCCGUAAACGAUGGAUACUAGCUGUUCGGAGCAAUCUGAGUGGCUAAGCGAAAGUGAUAAGUAUCCCACCUGGGGAGUACGUUCGCAAGAAUG